rnacentral:rRNA from 1 species
ACUGAGGAGCUACCAUGCAAGUCGAGCGGCAGCACAGAGGAACUUGUUCCUUGGGUGGCGAGCGGCGGACGGGUUGAGUAAUGCCUGGGAAAUUGCCCGGUAGAGGGGGAUAACCAUUGGAAACGAUGGCUAAUACCGCAUAACCUCGCAAGAGCAAAGCAGGGGACCUUCGGGCCUUGCGCUACCGGAUAUGCCCAGGUGGGAUUAGCUAGUUGGUGAGGUAAGGGCUCACCAAGGCGACGAAUCCCUAGCUGGUCUGAGAGGAUGAUCAGCCACACUGGAACUGAGACACGGUCCAGACUCCUACGGGAGGCAGCAGUGGGGAAUAUUGCACAAUGGGCGCAAGCCUGAUGCAGCCAUGCCGCGUGUAUGAAGAAGGCCUUCGGGUUGUAAAGUACUUUCAGUAGGGAGGAAAGGUGGUUAAGUUAAUACCUUAAUCAUUUGACGUUACCUACAGAAGAAGCACCGGCUAACUCCGUGCCAGCAGCCGCGGUAAUAACGGAGGGUGCAAGCGUUAAUCGGAAUUACUGGGCGUAAAGCGCAUGCAGGUGGUUUGUUAAGUCAGAUGUGAAAGCCCUGGGCUCAACCUAGGAAUCGCAUUUGAAACUGACAAGCUAGAGUACUGUAGAGGGGGGUAGAAUUUCAGGUGUAGCGGUGAAAUGCGUAGAGAUCUGAAGGAAUACCGGUGGCGAAGGCGGCCCCCUGGACAGAUACUGACACUCAGAUGCGAAAGCGUGGGGAGCAAACAAGGAUUAUAUACCCUGGUAGUCCACGCCGUAAACGAUGUCUACUUGGAGGUUGUGCCCUAAGUCGUGGCUUUCUGAGCUAACCACGU